rnacentral:rRNA from 1 species
GAUGAACGCUGGCGGCGUGCCUAAUACAUGCAAGUCGAGCGAACGGACGAGAAGCUUGCUUCUCUGAUGUUAGCGGCGGACGGGUGAGUAACACGUGGAUAACCUACCUAUAAGACUGGGAUAACUUCGGGAAACCGGAGCUAAUACCGGAUAAUAUUUUGAACCGCAUGGUUCAAAAGUGAAAGACGGUCUUGCUGUCACUUAUAGAUGGAUCCGCGCUGCAUUAGCUAGUUGGUAAGGUAACGGCUUACCAAGGCAACGAUGCAUAGCCGACCUGAGAGGGUGAUCGGCCACACUGGAACGUAGACACGGUCCAGACUCCUACGGGAGGCAGCAGUAGGGAAUCUUCCGCAAUGGGCGAAAGCCUGACGGAGCAACGCCGCGUGAGUGAUGAAGGUCUUCGGAUCGUAAAACUCUGUUAUUAGGGAAGAACAUAUGUGUAAGUAACUGUGCACAUCUUGACGGUACCUAAUCAGAAAGCCACGGCUAACUACGUG